CAGUCGCCACGGUAACACGUAGGUGGCAAGCGUUGUCCGGAAUUAUUGGGCGUAAAGCGCGCGCAGGCGGAUAGGUCAGUCUGUCUUAAAAGUUCGGGGCUUAACCCCGUGAUGAGAUGGAAACUGCCAAUCUAGAGUAUCGGAGAGGAAAGUGGAAUUCCUAGUUUAGCGGUGAAAUGCGUAGAUAUUAGGAAGAACACCAGUGGCGAAGGCGACUUUCUGGACGAAAACUGACACUGAGGCGCGAAAGCCAGGGGAGCGAACGGGAUUAGAUACCCGUGUAGUCCCUGUCUCUUAUACA
rnacentral:rRNA from 1 species